rnacentral:rRNA from 1 species
UGAGUACGAGAUGCUACGGCAUCGAAGCAGUCUAUGUCAUACUUCCAAGAAAAGCUUGCACUGUCAGAAACAGAUAAUGCCUGUACCAUAACCGACACAGGUGGGUAGGUAGAGUAUACUAAGGGGCGCGAGAUAACUCUCUCUAAGGAACUCGGCAAAAUGACUCCGUAACUUCGGGAGAAGGAGUGCCUUAUUUUUAAGGUUGCAAUAACAAGAUCCAAGCAACUGUUUACCAAAAACACAGGUCUCCGCUAAGUCGUAAGACGAUGUAUGGGGGCUGACGCCUGCCCAGUGCCAGAAGGUUAAAGAAGUCGGUUAGCAUUCGCGAAGCUGGUAACUGAAGCCCUGGUGAACGGCGGCCGUAACGAUAACGGUCCUAAGGUAGCGAAAUUCCUUGUCGGGUAAGUUCCGACCCGCACGAAAGGCGUAAUGAUUUGGAUACUGUCUCGGAGAGGGGCUCGGUGAAAUAGACUUGUCUGUGAAGAUGCGGACUACCUGCACCUGGGCAGAAAGACCCUAUGAAGCUUUACUGUAACUUGAAAUUGAAAUUGGACUUUAUUUGCGCAGUAUAGGUGGGAGGCGUUGAAAAUAUUCUUGCGGGAAUAUUGGAGCCAUCAGUGAGAUACCACUCUUGUAAUGUUAGAUUUCUAACUUUAUAUCAUUAUCUGGUUAAAGAACAGUUUCAGGCGGGCAGUUUGACUGGGGCGGUCGCCUCCCAAAUGGUAACGGAGGCGCACAAAGGUUUCCUCUGAACGGGUAGAAAUCGUAUCUAGAGUGUAAAGGCAUAAGGAAGCUUGACUGUGAGACCUACAAGUCGAGCAGGGACGAAAGUCGGUCUUAGUGAUCUGACGGUGCUGAGUGGAAAGGCCGUCACUCAACGGAUAAAAGUUACUCUAAGGAUAACAGGCUGAUCUCCCCCAAGAGUUCACAUCGACGGGGAGGUUUGGCACCUCGAUGUCGGCUCAUCGCAUCCUGGGGCGGUAGUACGUCCCAAGGGUUGGGCUGUUCGCCCAUGAAAGCGGUACGCGAGCUGGGUUCAGAACGUCGUGAGACAGUUCGGUCCAUAUCCGGUGUAGGCGUUAGAAUAUUGAGAGGAGCCUUCUUUAGUACGAGAGGACCGAGAAGGACAUACCUCUGGUGUACCAGUUAUCGCGCCAACGGUAAACGCUGGGUAGCUAUGUAUGGAGUGGAUAACCGCUGAAAGCAUCUAAGUGGGAAGCCCACCUCAAGAUAAGUAUUCUCAU